GGAGGGAUGGCUGAGUGGCUGAAGGCGCACGCCUGGAAAGUGUGUUUAGGUUAAUCCCUAACGAGGGUUCGAAUCCCUCUCCCUCCA
rnacentral:tRNA from 2 species